rnacentral:lncRNA from 10 species
AGAGGCUGGCGGGAUCCUCCAUAUGCUGAACGCUGGUUCCCCGGGUCCCCUUAUUUCUUUCUCUAUACUUUGUCUCUGUGUCUUUUUCUUUCCUAAGUCUCUCGUUCCACCUUACGAGAAACACCCACAGGUGUGGAGGGGCAACCCACCCCUACAUGACCCCACAACCCACUCUCCAGGAUCUGGGGAGAGUGGUUGGGGAGAGCAGGCUGUUGGUCAGCUACAA